rnacentral:lncRNA from 1 species
AAAAUGUAUCACGUUUUAUUAAUUUAUUGGCUCUGCACCGAGGUGUAUUGUAAGCCAACUUUAAGUACUUAAUUUUGGUAUUUAUUCACUGCUCAUAAAAAGAGGCAGCUUUCCUGACAAACCCUGAGGAUGUCUAUAAUCAACCAGGGAUAAGAAAUCUAAACACAUUUCAAUAUGCUAUUUGUACUUAUUUUUAAAUUCAUUGGUGGGUGGUUGGGUAGUGGUGAUAGUAUGUGUGUCCAUGUUUGUGUGCUUGUGUUUGUGUGUAUGUGCAUGUGUGAGUGAGUGAAUGUGUGUAACCAUGUUUGUGUGCUUGUGUUUGUGUGUAUGUGCAUGUGUGAGUGAGUGAAUGUGUGUGUCCAUGUUUGUGUGCUUGUGUUGGUGUGUAUGUGCGAGUGUGUGUGUGUGUGUGUGCGUGAGCGCAUGCAUGUUUGUGUUCAUAUAUGGAGAGACCAGGGGUUGACAUGAAUUAUCUGCCUCUAUCACUUUGUCUUAUUAUUGUCAUUUCCUUUUUAGACAAAGUCUCUCACCAUACAGAGUGCAGCAUUUCGACCAUAGUGGUUGGGCAGCCAGCCCUUGGGAUUCUCCUGUCCCAGUCUUCCCAGAUGUGGGGUUAUUCAUUUGAGUAUUCGAACCCAGCUCAGUUUCUUGUAUCUAUGAGCUAGAAGACAGCUGGGACAGCAAAUUCUUGACUCGCUUAUCAUCAUGUUCCCUUUCCAUGGUCAGCCCAGACUCUGGGCUCCAUCACAACACACUAGUCUGUUCAGCAUGGAGUACCUUUUUUGCCUCUUCUAGUCCAGCCAUCCAGGCAAAUCAAUCAAUACACUAAGUGGCAAUUCAUAAGUGACCCAUCGUGUCAAGCUGGAGAGCAGGAGGGACACCCAGCUUUUUAAAGCGAGCUUAUCAAUCACUGUAUCCCGAAUAAGCAUCUUCAUCCCAGCUACAGAAAAUAGAAGGCUGUAGAAAAGAA